UACGGAGGGUGCGAGCGUUGUCCGGAAUUACUGGGCGUAAAGCGCGUGUAGGCGGUUUUCUAAGUCUGAUGUGAAAGCCCGGGGCUCAACCUCGGAAGUGCAUUGGAAACUGGGAGACUAGAGUACCGGAGAGGAGGGUGGAAUUCCUGGUGUAGCGGUGAAAUGCGUAGAUAUCAGGAGGAACACCGGUGGCGAAGGCGGCCCUCUGGACGGAUACUGACGCUGAGACGCGAAAGCGUGGGGAGCAAACAGG
rnacentral:rRNA from 1 species